GUCUAAUUCUCGUGUAAAAUCAACACUGUUGCCGAACGGGUAGGCUUGUUUGGCAUUCUGCAAUGUUCUACAGUGGUUUAAGGUUAAAGUAGAUUGUGAACCAAAACAUGUUCCUAACGAACGUAUUAUUGAAGAAAACCAAGAGCAAAAAGUGAGUGUGAUUGGGCGGACACAGAAGAGAAUAGGUGAAGAAUAGAAUUUUGUAAUCAUAUCGAGCAGCAUCUGCAGCUGCAUGGAUCCUGUGCCAUUGUUGUUUAACCCUAAACCACUGGUGAAUAAUAAGGUUCAUGAUGUACCAGUGGCUGUCAUUUCAGUCAACAGGCCUCAUUACUUGUACAGGAUGCUGAGGUCUCUUCUCUCUGUACAUGGAGCAAAUCCAGAGAUGAUAACAGUCUUUAUUGAUGGCUACUUUGAGGAACCGCUUGAGGUGACAAAACUCUUUGGACUGCGAGGAAUUCAGCACACCAAUUGGAGUUAAGAAUGCCAGAAUAUCUCAGUACUACAAGGCUUCUCUGACAGCAACAUUCAACAUAUUUCCCAAUGCCAAAUACAUAAUUAUUGUGGAAGAAGAUCUGGAUGUGUCUCCAGACUUCUUCAGUUAAUUUGGCCAGACUAAGAGACUGCUAAAGGAGGACGAGACACUUUACUACAUCUCUGCCUGGAAUGAACAGGGUUAUGAGCGCACCAGCAGUGAUCCAAGCUUGUUAUACAGAGUGGAAACCAUGCAGUGCUCAGAUGGAUCCUUAAAAGAUCUCUAUUAAGAUGAGCUGGAAUCCAAAUGGUCAACAUCUGAGAAGGGUGAAAUCAUAAUAAUGUUCAUCAAAAUGGAAGAAUCAAAAGACUUUGUAACGUGGCUGCAAGUAGCCAAGUUCGAGGUUAUCACAAGAGUAUGUGGAGACUGCACAUGAAGGGCGGUGAAAUGCUUGUCACUGGAGUGCCAGACUUGGAGUAUUCAUAA